AUCCAGCUGGCGAGUCUCAAAUAGGACGAUACGCGCAUCCUGGAU
rnacentral:hammerhead_ribozyme from 1 species